GGGGAAUAUUGGGCAAUGGGCGAAAGCCUGACCCAGCAACGCCGCGCGAAGGAUGAAGGUCUUCGGAUUGUAAACUUCUUUGAUUAGGGAAGAAUUUUUGACCUACCUAAAGAACAAGUCACGGCUAACUACGUGCCAGCAGCCGCGGUAAUACGUAGGUGACAAGCGUUAUCCGGAUUUACUGGGUGUAAAGGGCGUGUAGGCGGUUUUGCAAGUCAGAUGUGAAAUUCCCAGGCUUAACCUGGGCGCUGCAUCUGAAACUGCAAGACUUGAGUACUGGAGAGGAUAGUGGAAUUCCUAGUGUAGCGGUAAAAUGCGCAGAUAUUAGGAGGAACACCGGUGGCGAAGGCGACUAUCUGGACAGUAACUGACGCUGAGGCGCGAAAGCGUGGGGAGCAAAC
rnacentral:rRNA from 1 species